ACGAACGAGGCUGGGGUGCCGGUGCCCCUGAGCUCCCCCCGGGCGGGCGGAUGGCUGUCCUUCCCGGCGCAGGAGACCUCACCGAGCCCGGCUCGGCCGCACGUAUCAAGACGCCUGAGCUCCCGGGAGCGGGCAGAUCCUUCUCACCCCACGAGGGUAAAGGGAAACACGUACCACCCUCAUUUUCCGGCCUUAACCAGAGCGUUUCCAGUUUUGCUUAGCAGCCGUCAGAAAGGAACUGUGACACGUGCACAGCCAAAGAUUCACGUCUUCGUUACUGACCCUAGAGACGUGGGGAUUUCUGCCCGCCGCUACCUUGCAUGUUUUGGGUGGUUCCAGACGCCGAGUUCAGGAGUCAGGAUGACUACCCCAGCGUGGCAUGGCCUUUCCCAUGAGGGGGGAAACUGCUGAUGCUCAAAGGAGCCAGAGGAGAUGAAAUGAUUGAAGAUGCUGGAGAGAAUGGAGACCAUGCAGGCAUCUG